rnacentral:SRP_RNA from 16 species
CCAACCCUCGCGGGAAGAGAAUUGGCGACGACGGCGUGAGGCUGGUGCUCACGGAGCA